UACGUAGGGGCUAGCGUUAUCCGGAAUUACUGGGCGUAAAGGGUGCGUAGGUGGUUUCUUAAGUCAGAGGUGAAAGGCUACGGCUCAACCGUAGUAAGCCUUUGAAACUGAGAAACUUGAGUGCAGGAGAGGAGAGUGGAAUUCCUAGUGUAGCGGUGAAAUGCGUAGAUAUUAGGAGGAACACCAGUAGCGAAGGCGGCUCUCUGGACUGUAACUGACGCUGAGGCACGAAAGCGUGGGGAGCAAACAGGAUUAGAUACCCUGGUAGUCCCUGA
rnacentral:rRNA from 1 species